UCCGUAGCUGGACUGAUAAGUCUCUUGGGAAAUCCGCCGGCUUAACCGGCGGGCGUCCAGGAGAUACUGUUGGUCUAGGGACCGGGAGAGGUGAGAGGUACUCCGGGGGUAGGAGUGAAAUCCUGUAAUCCCUGGGGGACCACCGAUGGCGAAGGUAUCUCACCAGAACGGCUCCGACAGUGAGGGACGAAAGCUGGGGGAGCGAACAGGAUUAGAUACCCUGGUAGUCC
rnacentral:rRNA from 1 species